rnacentral:rRNA from 1 species
GACGAACGCUGGCGGCGUGCUUAACACAUGCAAGUCGAACGGAAAGGCCCUGCUUUUGUGGGGUGCUCGAGUGGCGAACGGGUGAGUAACACGUGAGUAACCUGCCCUUGACUUUGGGAUAACUUCAGGAAACUGGGGCUAAUACCGGAUAGGAGCUCCUGCUGCAUGGGGGGGGUUGGAAAGUUUCGGCGGUUGGGGAUGGACUCGCGGCUUAUCAGCUUGUUGGUGGGGUAGUGGCUUACCAAGGCUUUGACGGGUAGCCGGCCUGAGAGGGUGACCGGCCACAUUGGGACUGAGAUACGGCCCAGACUCCUACGGGAGGCAGCAGUGGGGAAUAUUGCACAACGGGCGGAAGCCUGAUGCAGCAACGCCGCGUGCGGGAUGACGGCCUUCGGGUUGUAAACCGCUUUCGCCUGUGACGAAGAGUGAGUGACGGUAAUGGGUCAAGAAGCAACGGCUAACUACGUG